AGGUUGGGCGGUCUGGAAGUCGACGUCGUUUGAAGACUUCUGCCCGUCCACCUGCAGCUGUGCGAGCCGACGGUCGAUUUUCUCGAACCUGCGUUCGUAGUCGUCUGUCCGUCGGUGCUGGGAGACCCCAGGAGUGGAGUCUCCGGAAGAUUUCGAGAGGGAGGCGGACGGUGUCCGCGGUCGCUUCUCCUUCCUCGCUCGUUCUAGCUGGGAGG
rnacentral:lncRNA from 1 species